CAGUAGCCGCGGGAAUACGAAGGGUGCAAGCGUUAAUCGGAAUUACUGGGCGUAAAGCGUGCGUAGGCGGUGAGUUAAGUCUGCUGUGAAAUCCCCGGGCUCAACCUGGGAAUGGCAGUGGAUACUGGCUCGCUAGAGUGUGUCAGAGGAUGGUGGAAUUCCCGGUGUAGCGGUGAAAUGCGUAGAGAUCGGGAGGAACAUCAGUGGCGAAGGCAGCCCCCUGGGUCAAUACUGACGCUCAUGCACGAAAGCGUGGGGAGCAAACAGGAUUAGAUACCCCUGUAGUCCCUGUCUCUUAUAC
rnacentral:rRNA from 1 species